AGAGUUUGUUCCUGGCUCAGAUUGAACGCUGGCGGAAUGCUUUACACAUGCAAGUCGAACGGUAGAGGGGGCAACCCCUCGAGAGUGGCGAACGGGUGAGUAAUGCAUCGGAACGUGCCCGAUCGUGGGGGAUAACGCAGCGAAAGCUGCGCUAAUACCGCAUACGAUCUGAGGAUGAAAGCGGGGGACCGUAAGGCCUCGCGCGAUCGGAGCGGCCGAUGUCAGAUUAGGUAGUUGGUGGGGUAAAGGCCUACCAAGCCGACGAUCUGUAGCUGGUCUGAGAGGACGACCAGCCACACUGGGACUGAGACACGGCCCAGACUCCUACGGGAGGCAGCAGUGGGGAAUUUUGGGCAAUGGGCGCAAGCCUGAUCCAGCAAUGCCGCGUGCAGGAAGAAGGCCUUCGGGUUGUAAACUGCUUUUGUACGGAGCGAAAAGGCUCUCUCUAAUACAGGGGGCUCAUGACGGUACCGUAAGAAUAAGCACCGGCUAACUACGUGCCAGCAGCCGCGGUAAUACGUAGGGUGCGAGCGUUAAUCGGAAUUACUGGGCGUAAAGCGUGCGCAGGCGGUUUUGUAAGACAGGCGUGAAAUCCCCGGGCUCAACCUGGGAAUGGCGCUUGUGACUGCAAGGCUGGAGUGCGGCAGAGGGGGAUGGAAUUCCGCGUGUAGCAGUGAAAUGCGUAGAUAUGCGGAGGAACACCGAUGGCGAAGGCAAUCCCCUGGGCCUGCACUGACGCUCAUGCACGAAAGCGUGGGGAGCAAAAAGGAUUAGAUACCCUGGUAGUCCACGCCGUAAACGCUGAAAAGGAGCUGUCCGGGUUCAUGGAACAUGGGUGGCGCAGCUAACACAUUAAUUUAUCCGCCUGGGGAGUACGGUCGCAAGAUUAAAAAUCAAAGGAAUAGACGGGGGCCUGCACAAGCGGCGGAGCAUGUGGUUUAAUUUGAAGCAACGCGCAGAACCCUACCAGCCUUUGACAUCCUAGGACGACAUCUGGAGACAGAUUUCUUCCCUUCCGGGACCUAGUGACAGGUGCUGCAUGGCUGUCGUCAGCUCGUGCCGUGAGAUGUCGGGUUAAGUCCCGCAACGAGCACAACCCUCGUCCUUAGUUGCCAUCAUUAAGUUGGGCACUCUAAGGAAACAGCCGGUGAUAAGCCGGAGGAAGGUGGGGAGGACGUCAAGUCCUCAUGGCCCUCACAGGCUGGGCUACACACGUGCUACAAUGGCAUCUACAGUGGGCAGUUAUUCCGCAAGGAUGCGCUAAUCUCCAAAAGAUGUCUCAGUUCGGAUUGUCCUCUGCAACUCGAGGGCAGGAAGGCGGAAUCGCUAGUAAUCGCGGAUCAGCAUGCCGCG
rnacentral:rRNA from 1 species